AGUGAACGCUGGCGGCGUGCCUAAUACAUGCAAGUCGAACGAUGAAGUCCUAGCUUGCUAGGACGGAUUAGUGGCGCACGGGUGAGUAAUGUAUAGCUAAUCUGCCCCAUAGAGAGGAACAACACUUAGAAAUGAGUGCUAAUACCUCAUACUCCUAUUUUGCAUAAGUUUAAUAGGGAAAGUCUUUUCGCUAUGGGAUGAGGCUAUAUUGUAUCAGCUAGUUGGUGAGGUAAUGGCUCACCAAGGCUUUGACGCAUAACUGGUCUGAGAGGAUGAUCAGUCACAUUGGAACUGAGACACGGUCCAAACUCCUACGGGAGGCAGCAGUAGGGAAUAUUGCUCAAUGGGGGAAACCCUGAAGCAGCAACGCCGCGUGGAGGAUGACACUUUUCGGAGCGUAAACUCCUUUUGUUGGGGAAGAACAAUGACGGUACCCAACGAAUAAGCACCGGCUAACUCCGUGCCAGCAGCCGCGGUAAUACGGAGGGUGCAAGCGUUACUCGGAAUCACUGGGCGUAAAGGACGCGUAGGUGGAUAGAUAAGUCUCUUGUGAAAUCUAGUAGCUUAACUACUAAACUGCUUGGGAAACUAUUUAUCUAGAGUAAGGGAGAGGCAGAUGGAAUUCUUGGUGUAGGGGUAAAAUCCGUAGAUAUCAAGAGGAAUACUUAUUGCGAAGGCGAUCUGCUAGAACUUAACUGACACUAAUGCGUGAAAGCGUGGGGAGCAAACAGGAUUAGAUACCCUGGUAGUCCACGCCCUAAACGAUGUAUACUGGUUGUUGCUAUGCUAGUCAUGGCAGUAAUCCACCUAACGGAUUAAGUAUACCGCCUGGGGAGUACGGUCGCAAGAUUAAAACUCAAAGGAAUAGACGGGGACCCGCACAAGCGGUGGAGCAUGUGGUUUAAUUCGAAGAUACGCGAAGAACCUUACCCGGACUUGAUAUCUAACAAAUCAUCCAGAGAUGGAAGAGUGUCUGCUUGCAGAAAUGUUAAGACAGGUGCUGCACGGCUGUCGUCAGCUCGUGUCGUGAGAUGUUGGGUUAAGUCCCGCAACGAGCGCAACCCACGUGUUUAGUUGCUAACAGUUAGGCUGAGCACUCUAAACAGACUGCCUUCGUAAGGAGGAGGAAGGUGUGGACGACGUCAAGUCAUCAUGGCCCUUAUGUCCGGGGCGACAUACGUGCUACAAUGGCAUAUACAAUGAGAAGCAAUAUCGCGAGAUGGAGCAAAUCUAUAAAAUAUGUCUUAGUUCGGAUUGGAGUCUGCAACUCGACUCCAUGAAGCCGGAAUCGCUAGUAAUCGUAGAUCAGCCAUGCUACGGUGAAUACGUUCCCGGGUCU
rnacentral:rRNA from 1 species